GGAAGAAGGUGGUCUAUGCACCUCCACUGGCCCAGAGGCAGAUUUACCAGGAAGCUAGUGAAAUGUCUUGCUAAAUUGUCCAGGCUGGCCUCAAUCUUGCAACCCUCCUGCCUCAGCCUCCUGUGUAGCUGGGAUUACAAGUAUAUACCCAGCUAAUUUUCCUAGUUUUGUAAGUGGAGAACCACCAUCUUCCAUUGGUCACUCUGUUCUUGAGAAAGCAGCAUUGAAAACCCAAACUUUCUGUCUCCAUCAACUUUUAGCCACCAGCCACUUGGUAGAUCAAGGCAAUGGAGCGUGUUCCAGGCAAACAUCUCCAGUAGCUGGACCGCCAGUGUCUGCUAUGCUCCUGACCUCUGUUUGGGGGAAGCGCAGCAGAGGGAGACAGAUGGAGAUGGGCUACAGGUGAGCUCAUAUUCCCACCUCUAAGCCUCUGUCCGCUCUGAGAACUGGCGCUGGGAUGUCUGAGCAUUGGCCCUGGGACAGCUUACAAGCUGUCCUUUUAAAGCUGGUGCCUGGGCAUAGGAGGAGGCAUUGGUUGGGUACAAGGUGGAAGGUGGUGAAUGAGUAAUGCUUUCUACCUAAGCUUUUCAAAUGUCUAUAGAGGCUAUUGUAAAAGGAUAUAUUUUUAUAAUUAAAGGUAUAUAAUUUAUAGUAGGUGUUGUCCUUAUAUGUUUUUCCCAUCAAAGGAAAUUAAAAUACAAUAAUCAUGAGGUCCUGGGAACAUUAUUUGACCUAAGAGGAAUCCUUGUGGAUGAAGAGUUUACUGGUCUUUAGGAAAUGAAAUAUGAACACACAUUCUGGUUUUUCCUUUCUCCCCCAGAUCCUGGGAGAUAAGAUGGAAGCCACAGAGCUGGCUGGGCUGUAAGGAAAACAGCCUGAUGUAUCUUUCGAUGUGUCUUUCACGUUCAGAUUGUUUUCCCCCCAACAGCAUGUGUAACUCUGAGAUCUGUACCCACCCCGUAUCAUUGACGUGGUUUAGAGAGGAUCUCACAGAGCUGGAGUUAGUGAGGCAGGACACUGGAGGAGGGAAGACAGAAAAGGAGAACGAGGCUUCCAGCAGCUGCUGGAGUGUACAGCUACCUUGGCUCUUUGCCUUCUGGCCUGGUUGCCAUGGGUUAGUCGUCAUUUAAAUAUUUCCUGGCUUCCCCUCUGGCAUGGUGGAUUGGGGACUUUAAAACAUGGGCUCUUUCCCACCUAGGCUUGUUAUGCACCUUUCCUGGAGACAUAAAGAGCUUGUUUGAAGGUCCUGACCUGGCAUGGGUGUUGCGCAAACAGGAGCAGGGCAACAGCACCUCUAUUUGCGCAGUGCUGUGGCUAAGUAGCCCUUUCAUUGCGGUAGUCAACACCUUUUGUUGUUGCCAGAGCCUUCAGGAUUGAUGCAGUCUGAGCUGGGCUUUCAGGUGGGUUGGAGAGGGAUAAAUGUGCCCAGAGCAACUUCCAGAAGGGACAGGCUGAACAUUGCUUCCUUUGCUUCCUCUCUUCAGAGAAUCUGCUAAGGAAAACAGAAGCUUGUUAGUCUCAAUUUUGGCGAUAAGUAGAAAAUAUAACCAGAGACAGUAAAAACCCUUUAGGAAGUUCCUACUUAACACAUUUGCUUCUGUGGUUCACAUUUUCACUUCCUGCCCUUGAUUCUCGAUUUCUUUGCUAUGAAAUUUUCAUGAGUUGGUUCUUUUUGAAAAAAGAAAUCUUAAAUCACACAUAAUUAUAUUUGCUCAGACUCUACUUAAGGUGUAAACUCACUGGACUGAGUGUGUGGGGGGAUGCUGCUCUGCUAAGAAUCUCAAGUUCAAGUUCAAGCUCUAAAAUGGGCUUUGUCAGAAGCCCACUGGGGCUGGGGUGCGGUUUUUCAGUUGGGAAGAUGUGCUCAGGUGAGCUGGUUGGUGGCUGGCUGGAUUAACAGCAGCACAGCUAGUUACUGUUGAAAGAGGUUAAGCUGAUGGCCAGUGAUCCAAAUAGGGAAGGAUUCUCAGCCCAGCUUUUCUGUCCUCAAAUUCUCUUCCUUUGCCAACUGUCAGCAUUCUGCCUGUAUAUGAAAUCCAAAGCCAAUAUGACAAACUCCAAAGCAAUAUGACAAACUCUCCGGAGCACCUCUCUUGAUUUCAUGUCUUUGCCCUUAUUUCCCUACUGUAAGGGAGAUUUUGGGGGGUAUCAGGAGGAAUUGUGCAUAAAUACUUACAUGCCAAUUCUCAAACUCUUGAACAACUUUUGUUCAAACUCUAAGAUGUUAAAGUUCUGUCAUUAGUACACUCACUCAGUUAAUAUAUUUUCAGUGGAAACCAAUGAACCCUUUACAUUGGCCCUGACAUCAUGUCCUGGAAAGAUAUGCAUGGUCUCAUCCUUAGGAUACUAACCAUCUGGGAGUCCAGGCAAGAUUUAUGAAUGAGUCAACUGGAGAGUAAUACUCGAUGGCUCUACUUUAGUCUCUAACCUUGUGCUCAGCAUAGAAAAGGAGAUCAGCUGAUUCUAAUCCAGUGAAGAGAGUGGGGAAGGCUAUAAGUGGCCAUAACUGGUGUAGUCUGUGUGUAGAAAGUGAGGGGGAUGAGCCAGGUCUUGAAGAGGGCUGGCUGGAAGGAAGUUGAAUGGGUUAGAAAGAGGGUACUACAAGUAGUCAGGAUGGCUGCAAAACAUACCCAGGAAACAGACGCUGUUGGGUCCAGGAAGAGCUAUGAUGAGAUGAAGUGUAGAAGAGGUUGAAAAUCAACUGGAGGUGAGACUUGGAUUAAGCCAAGUUGAUAAAACUGAGGGGGCUGCUGUGGGUUUGAGGGGAGUGACAUGGUUAUUCAUGUUGAGCAUCCCUAAUCCAAAAAUCCAAAAUCCAAAAUACUCCCAAAUGAGAAACAUUUUGAGCAUCUGUAUGCACCCUGAGUGGAAAAUUCCACACCUGACCUUAAGUGAUGGGUUUGCAGUCAAAACGCAGGUGAACUAAAAGUAUUGUAAAAAAAAUUACUUUCAGUCCAUGUGUAUAAAGUGUAUAUGAAACAUCAAUAAGUCUCAUAUUUAGACUUGAGUUCCCCAAGAGAUUUCAUUAUGUAUGUGCACAUAUUCCCAGAUCUGAAAACAACCGAAGCCCUUUUAGACCCAAGCAUUCUGGAUAAGGGACGCUCUAUCUGUAGGAGAUCCUUAAGGUGCAGCAAAACUCAUUGUCUUGAAUCAGAUAUAGCCUCACGGGCAGGGGUUUUUUAAAAAUUGAUUUUGUGAUGAAAUAUACAUAGCAUAAAAUUUCCUAUUUUAACAAGUUUUAAGUGUAUAGAUGAGUAGUGUCACGUAUAUUCAUAUUGUUGUGUGCAGCCAAUCUUCAGAACAUUUUCAUCUUGCAUGUUGGAGCUCCAUACCCAUGAGCAACCAUUACUUACUUCUUCCUUAUCUCCUCUAGACUUGGCAACCUAUUUUCUGUUUUGUAUGAAUUUGACUACUGCAGGUACCUCAUACAAAUGGAAUCCUACAGUAUAUUUGUCGUUUUUGUGGCUGGCUUAUUUCAUUUAGCAUAAUGUCCUCCAGGUUUACUCAUUUGAACUGUGUGUCAGAAUUUCCUUCUCUUUUUUUUUUGAGUAUUUGAGCAUUUUAUUAAAUCAGACGAGGAAUCUCCAUAUUGCCACACAUACGGUCUUGUGUCCCAUUAAUCAGGGCACAGUUCUUGUUUACAAAGAUAGAGCCAGCAGGAGGGUGGCACAAUGUCUAGAGCAUUCACAGAGCAAACACAGCGAGAUCAUGUGAGUAAUAGAACAGUGAAUCAUGACAGAGGUCACAAUUCAUCCUUCACCUUAAAAACACAUGUGUUUUACCCAGAAAAAAAUCUGAAGAGUAAUAGGCUGUCACUAGUCCGAUAAAAUUUCCUUCAGGAACAUGAAGCUUCUUACAAUGGACUGACUUGUUUGCUAGGCAGAAUUUCCAUCCUUUUGAAGGCUUCAUAAUAUUCUGCUGUCUGUACAUACCCCAUUUUGUUUACCCAUUCAUCAGUCCUUGGGUUGUGUCUACCCUGAUCUGUUAUGAAUAACGAUGCUAUGAAUGUGGGUGUACAAAUAUCUCUUGGAGACUUCCUUUCAUUCCUUUGGGAAUGUGUUCAGAAGUUGGAUUGAUAGGUCAUAUGUUAAGUCUAUAUUAAAAUUUUUGAGGAAGCAGCAUACCAUUUUCCACAUUUCCACAGUGGCACCAUUUUACAUUCCCACCAACAAGGCAUAAGAGUUCCUAUUUCUUCAUGUCCUCACCAACACUUGCUAUUAUUUUAUUUUAUUUUUGGAUAGUAGACAUUCUGAUGGGUGUGAGGUGACAUUUCUUCCUUGUUUGGUUUGCAUUUCCCUGAUGACCAGUAAUGCUCAGCUCCUUUUCAUGUAUUUGCUACUGUGUGAAAAGAUGGCCAUUAUAUAUCUUCAUUAGAGAGAAAUCCAUUCAACUCCUUUGCUCAUCUUGAGUAGGGUUGCUUUUUGUAGCUGUUGACUUUUAGGGAUUCCUUCUGUAUUUUAGAACUUUACUAAUCCCUUUUCAUAUGUUAUUUGAAAACAUUUUCCCCAUUCUGUGGCUUACCUCUUUACUCUGCUGAUUAUGUCCUUUGAUGAAGUUCUGUUUGUUUCUUUUUUCUUUUGUUCCUUGUGCCUUUGGUGUUAUAUCCAAGGAAUCAUUGCCAAAUUCAUUUUCUAAAAGUUUCUCCUAAGAGUUUUAUAGCUUUUGGUCUGACAUGUAGGUCUUUGAUCCAUUUUGAGUUAAUUUUUGUAUAUGGUGUAAGGGUCCAACUUUAUUCUCCUUCAUGUGUAUUUGCAGUUUAUCCAACUUCCUUAUUCAUUUAUUAUCCUUUCCUUAUUCAUUUAAUCAUAUACAUAAAGG
rnacentral:lncRNA from 1 species